UACGAGUGCCUCAAGCGUUAUCCGGAAUUAUUGGGCGUAAAGGGUGUGUAGGCUGUUAUAUUAGUCCUGUGUUAAAACCUUCGGCUUAACCGAAGAUCUGCAUGGGAGACGGUAUAACUAGAGGAUGCGAGAGGUGAAUAGAACUCAUAGUGUAGGGGUGAAAUCCGUUGAUAUUAUGGGGAAUACCAAAUGCGAAGGCAAUUCACUGGCGCACUCCUGACGCUGAAACACGAAAGCGUAGGUAGCGAAUGGG
rnacentral:rRNA from 1 species